rnacentral:lncRNA from 1 species
CUUCUGGUGUUUGUUGGUAAUCCUGGGCAUUCCUUGUCUUGUAGAUAUAUCACUCCAAUCUCUGCCUCCAUCUUUACGGCCACGAAGCAUCUUCACUGGAAAAAAUCUCUUUUUCCUUUAUGCUGUUCUGCAAGAGAGGAAUUAACUCAAACUAGAACUGAGGAGGUCUGCAAGGAAACAUAACAAGAAAUACAGCAUUUCUAAGACACUGACUGUUUUGGAUAUGGUCAAAUGUAUAGUUUACCUAUAGAUGUGAAACCAUGGAGAGCUACAUCAAGACCUGCUCAAGAUGACUGGACAUUUCUCCAGGAUGUGGAGACUAGAGGACGACAGUACUGGUUGUGGCUGCAUGUCUGACACUCCUGCGCCACUUUUCCUGAACGGUUUGAGUGCCCCUCCCCUCUCCCCCCACAAUCUCAUCCCAGUGACUCCUGAGGUCCGAAGCAUCUUCAGGAUCUACAGCAUCUCUGACGAUGUCCAUCAGGAGAAAGGAGUUGCUUAUUAUAGAGGUCUCUACCAUUGGCCGGUGCGCAGUUUGUGGUCAACACUUGAUACUCAGCGAGGCCCUGAACAGCCACUGAACUGAGGUGUUACUGUUAACAGAGGUGCCUCGUUUUCUUAGUAGCCCCUACCUGGACCCCUAAAUUGUGACCGUUGAGUGCCUGGAUUCAGGUGAGCUCAGGUGUUUUCCUUGUAUAACAACCGAUAAACGGGUUGCUUUAACAUGAGACUUUGUAAAUAGAAAUUGAGAAGUACCCAAACACUUUGAACUACACACGUUUAUUAAAUAGUUAACAAAGGCACAUC